CGUCCUUUGUGGCCGGCCAACCUCCGGCCGUUGAGCGAUGGUUCGGGCCAACCGGCCGGACCCCGCACUCCUCUGCUUCGGCUGUGACGUGCAGCUCCGUCUGCGCGAGUUUUUAAUACGAGUUUAGCGCGGUCAGCAGCGAGCGAAUGCCCGUGUAAGCUGCGCGCGCGAGACUGCACGGGUCGACGCGAGGACUGGAAUGCGGGCAAGGAAUGGCGCGGGUGUGCGUUGCCGACUGUAGUCUAAAGAGAACGUUCGUGCAGCGCAUGAGCUAGGAACGAAUCGCGGCGACUGAAUCAUUCCGGCCAGCUCUUUGAUAUUAUGAGCUGCAUCUGAAGAGCAUGCAGUGGGAGGGCCUCCUGACCAGUGCUGACCCGGAGGACCAGCGACGACUGGUGGACCGAGCAAGGCGGACAGCCGAGGGCCAUGACAUCCGGAACUAAGGAAGCCACCCACAUGAGAGCGACAUACACAAGGACGCCGUCGUAUCGUUUAAUAAAGUUUGUUUCAACGUCUC